UGGGGGAUAUUGCACAAUGGGCGAAAGCCUGAUGCAGCGACGCCGCGUGGGGGAUGAAGGCCUUCGGGUUGUAAACUUCUUUUGCUCUGAACAAGGCAUGCUAAUGGGUGUGUUGAGUGUAGGGGUUGAAUAGCGCCGGCUAACUACGUGCCAGCAGCCGCGGUAAUACGUAGGGCGCGAGCGUUGUCCGGAAUUAUUGGGCGUAAAGGGCUUGUAGGUGGCUGGUUGCGUCUGUCGUGAAAGCUCAUGGCUUAACUGUGGGUUUGCGGGGGGUACGGGCUGGCUUGAGUGCAGUAGGGGAGGCUGGAAUUCCUGGUGUAGCGGUGGAAUGCGCAGAUAUCAGGAGGAAUACCGGUGGCGAAGGCGGGUCUCUGGGCUGUUACUGACACUGAGGAGCGAAAGCAUGGGGAGCGAACAGG
rnacentral:rRNA from 1 species